CCCCUAGAUGUUCUGGGCCGCACGCGCGCUACACUGAACAGUUCAACAAGUCUUAACCUUGGCCGAUAGGUCUGGGUAAUCUUUGAACGCUGUUCGUGAUUGGGAUAGACCUUUGCAAUUAUGGGUCUUCAACGAGGAAUUCCUAGUAAACGCAAGUCAUCAGCUUGCAUUGAUUACGUCCCUGCCCUUUGUACACACCGCCCGUCGCACCUACCGAUUGAAUGGUCCGGUGAAAUCUCGGGACGGCGGCUUGGUCGCUUGCGUCCGACUGCUGAAACUUGAUUAAACCAUAUUAUUUAGAGGAAGGUGAAGUCGUAACA
rnacentral:rRNA from 1 species